rnacentral:rRNA from 1 species
UACGAAGGAUGCGAGCGUUAUCCGGAUUUAUUGGGUUUAAAGGGUGCGUAGGCGGUCUUAUAAGUCAGUGGUGAAAUCUUGUCGCUUAACGACAAACGUGCCAUUGAUACUGUAGGACUUGAGUACAGAUGCCGUUGGCGGAAUGUGUCAUGUAGCGGUGAAAUGCAUAGAUAUGACACAGAACACCGAUUGCGAAGGCAGCUGACGAAACUGUAACUGACGCUGAUGCACGAAAGCGUGGGGAUCAAACAGG